rnacentral:rRNA from 1 species
CCUACGGGUGGCACCAGUGGGGAAUAUUGCACAAUGGGCGCAAGCCUGAUGCAGCCAUGCCGCGUGUGCGAAGAAGGCCUUCGGGUUGUAAAGCACUUCCAGUGGGGAGGAAGGCGUUAAGGUUAAUAACCUUGGCGAUUGACGUUACCCGCAGAAGAAGCACCGGCUAACUCCGUGCCAGCAGCCGCGGUAAUACGGAGGGUGCAAGCGUUAAUCGGAAUUACUGGGCGUAAAGCGCACGCAGGCGGUCUGUCAAGUCGGAUGUGAAAUCCCCGGGCUCAACCUGGGAAGUGCAUUCGAAACUGGCAGGCUAGAGUCUUGUAGAGGGGGGUAGAAUUCCAGGUGUAGCGGUGAAAUGCGUAGAGAUCUGGAGGAAUACCGGUGGCGAAGGCGGCCCCCUGGACAAAGACUGACGCUCAGGUGCGAAAGCGUGGGGAGCAAGCAGGAUUAGAUACCCGUGUAGUC